rnacentral:rRNA from 1 species
UAGGGAAUAUUGGUCAUGGGCGCAAGCCUGAACCAGCAACGCCGCGUGUGCGAUGAAGGCCUUCGGGUCGUAAAGCACUUUUUGGAGGGAUGAGGAAGGACAGUACCUCCAGAAUAAGCCUCGGCUAACUACGUGCCAGCAGCCGCGGUAACACGUAGGAGGCAAGCGUUAUUCGGAUUUACUGGGCGUAAAGCGCGUGCAGGCGGUUCGGUAAGUUGGAUGUGAAAGCUCCUGGCUUAACUGGGAGAGGGCGUUCAAUACGUCCGGACUUGAGAGUGGGAGAGGGAGGUGGAAUUCCGGGUGUAGUGGUGAAAUGCGUAGAUAUGCGGAGGAACACCAGUGGCGAAAGCGGCCUCCUGGCCCAUUUCUGACGCUCAGACGCGAAAGCUAGGGUAGCAAACG